rnacentral:rRNA from 1 species
AACGAACGCUGGCGGCAGGCUUAACACAUGCAAGUCGAACGCAUCCUUCGGGGUGAGUGGCAGACGGGUGAGUAACGCGUGGGAACGUGCCCUUCAGUUCGGGAUAACCCAGGGAAACUUGGGCUAAUACCGGAUACGUGCGAGAGCAGAAAGAUUUAUCGCUGAAGGAUCGGCCCGCGUCUGAUUAGCUAGUUGGUGGGGUAAUGGCCCACCAAGGCGACGAUCAGUAGCUGGUCUGAGAGGAUGAUCAGCCACAUUGGGACUGAGACACGGUCCAAAGUCCUACGGGAGGCAGCAGUGGGGAAUAUUGGACAAUGGGCGCAAGCCUGAUCCAGCCAUGCCGCGUGAGUGAUGAAGGCCUUAGGGUUGUAAAGCUCUUUCGUCCGGGACGAUAAUGACGGUACCGGAAGAAGAAGCCCCGGCUAACUUCGUGCCAGCCGCCGCAGUAA